rfam:Cellvibrio sp. BR genomic scaffold O59_Scaffold8, whole genome shotgun sequence.
GGAGUCGGCCCGACAGUCGCUCCGGUGUUAACUGCAUAGCUCUCUUGAGUGCUGUGUGGUGCAUCGGGGAGGAAAGUCCGGGCUCCAUAGAGCAGAGCGCCAGGUAACGCCUGGGAGGCGUGAGCCUACGGAAAGUGCAACAGAGAGCAGACCGCCUAAGUGCUCGCAAGAGCAACGGUAAGGGUGAAAGGGUGCGGUAAGAGCGCACCGCGCAACUGGCAACAGGCUGCGGCAUGGUAAACCCCGCUCGGAGCAAGACCAAAUAGGCCCUCAAUGAUGCGGCUCGUAUCGAGGGCGGGUAGGUUGCUUGAGGCUAAGGGUGACCUUAGUCCCAGAUGAAUGACUGUCCACGACAGAACCCGGCUUAUCGGCUGACUCCGACU